ensembl:lncRNA
AUCUCUGUAGACCAGAAAGAGAAGAAAACUGGAGCAUGAGGAGCUGAAUGCUGCUGUUUCUCACCUUUGUGCUGCUGAUACAGACCUACUGCCAGCCCAGUGAAAGACUCAGCCUCCUGGGAAGGUUUUCUCAGCUCUUCCCUUUAGAGGGCGAUCCUACCACACACAUCUUCAGCGUGCGAACUUCUGCGAGCUGCAGUGCGAGGUGAAGCCGCCCAGAGGUCAGCAGAACGUGGUGCCUGUCCUGGAGCUCUGCAAACCUACGGACACCCUGCAGUGUAUAUACCACCCCAGCACCCAGAGCUGGGUGUCACUGCUGGUCCUUGGCUGGCAUAGCCUGUGUGGCUAUAGAAAUAGGCUGUGUUUGCUUCCUAAUAUGUAUUCCUGCUUCAACUGCUUGGUCUGGUGCUGAGCUACAGCAGGAAGAUCUUGUUGCAGAGAGGCCCCGCUGCCCCUGGGGGGGGGUUCAGGAGCUGACCUUGCCGCUGUCACUCCUUUACCUAUGUGCAGGUCCUGCAAUGAGGGUGCCCACGGCGUUUCCUUGAGCUGCUGACCCCAGGCUGCUGUUGGUGCCCUGUCCUCCCUCCCCAUGUUCCUCCUCCAGGCAGCUCAGCACCACCCCAGGCAGCACUGGCUAAGCUCCCACAGGGGUCUCCUUUACUCUUCCAACUUCAGCCAGCCCUGUGCAGAACCUCCACCGAGAUUAAAGAGCGAUGCAGUGUGAAACCUUCCUCCUCUUCAGCAGAUGGUGUUUGCGGCAGUGGACGUUUCCUGUGCUGUUGUAACAGAACGGCCUGGUCUAGCCAGGAAGCAGAAGUGGAAGAUGCAGUCUGGUCUUGCUGAGGCUGCCUUGCUUUACAGACCUGACCUGAGAUCCUGGAUCACAAAUGAUCUCUUGCUUUCUCAAGUAUCGGAUGUUUUUUUUUUUUUUCCCCCUUUUUUUCCCUCCAUGUUCAACCCAUGAGCUGAAGAGCUGCCAUGCCUUGCUGCAGCCAGCAGCUUCUGUCACUGCAGCACUCACAGCAGCCUCCUGGGGCUCGGUGCCCGCAGAUGUGCUGUGUGAUGCAAUGUGAACUUCACAUCACCUUCACGGAAAGACUGAAACGCAUCUAAACUGGAGCUCACCCGGUGUCACUGCCUUAGGCUGAACAGAGCACUGCUACAUCUGUCCUAGCUGUGAACUUCCAGCCUGAAAAGCCUCACGGGUGGUGAAAUGGUGCCCUGACUGAGUGAGCUGUGGUGGGAGCUUUCAGCUGGUAUUGCUUCUGCACACCAAGAAGGGGCAGCUGCACAUCCAUCAGGCUUAGUGCUGUCAGACCAGGCUGAGAUUGCUGAGUGCUGCAGUGGGUGCAUUCGAGACAAAUCUCAGGUGAGGGAGAGAGGAAAUGCAUAUGGCCUCACUGCCUCCCUGGAGCCAGCACUGUGACUGCUCCCUGGAGAGCAGCUCCCUGACUGCAUCAGCUCCCCGAGCAGCUCUGCUCCUUCUCCUCCCAGCAGCCAGAAACUGCCUACAUCAGCUUUUACCUUCCGAUGGAAACCGGCUGAGCCACAGCAAUGGGGAGCGACCCAUGGGCACUACGUGCUGCUGCAAGCUCUGUCCCACACCCGGGCAAGCCUGGGGUAUGAACCUCUGUGCUUCAGGAGCUGCAUUCCCCUGCCAGCUCUGCAAGGUCAGACACAGCCCAUGCCAUGCUCUGUGCACCCCUCCUCACCCCUCUGACUGCAAUAGCACCAGGCUGUCUCACAGCCCUGCUGAGCCCUGCCAAACCUCAAAAGCCCUUUCACAAAGAGCCACGUGUCAGCUCUCCGUGUCCCCUAUCAGCUCCAUCUACCUGACUUCUUCCUGCCGGUCACAGCAAGCCUGGGCAGGUAGCAGGACACGGGGCAGCUGGAGGUGGAUGCUGAAGGUUCAGCCAAAGUGCACUCCUUCCUGCAGCACUGCCUUCAGCUAAGGAAGGGAUCUUUCUUUAGCUCCUCUUUUCCUCCGCCUUUCAAAGCGGUGCCGUAUGGAUGCUAUCAUGGAGUUCAUUAGUCCCUGUCGGAGCCCCCUCCCUGGAGAGGAUGGAUUUUGC